ACACUAUUAUAUACGUAAACAUACCACCAACACUCGCACAAAAGAAAUGCAGAUUUAAAUUGAAGAAUCCGCAAAUAUUAAAUUCAAUCUUGACGUUUUUCAGUUGAGAUGAGAAACUCUUCAGAUCCACUAUAGUCCAAGUGCUUAUAUACGGAUACAAAAGUAGUUUUUGUAUAUGAAUGAGAGUAGCAUUGAAUUCUUCAGCAGUUGAAUUACAGCACGUCGUCAGCCAAAAAAAGGCGAGUAGUUCAAAAGCACACAUAGACAGAAGAGUUAUCCCUUUAAAAUAAAUUUCAAAGUUACCAUUAUUGAAAACUGCGUCAUUCAUAGUUAUUACUCCGAAAUAUGUUGCGAACACAGAGUAUGUCAGUACAGUAAUAAACUCAAGUAAGAUUACAAUCCCAUAGCUGUUGUUAUUCUCAUGUAUCACGUCAUAGAGUUCGCUGUGGACCAUUCGCAAGUCACGGAUUCUGCACACGUUACUAGAAUCCUUGUAAUUCUUCAAGUUAUCUGUCGUCAGAAAUAACUUAUUAGCGUUGUGGCUCUUAAAAGGUCCAGGAUUUCUCGAACAGCUGUCUGAGAGGACUUCCUUUAACAGUCACCUUCAUAGAACCGACAUCACCAAUGGCAAAUAACUCUGUGACAUCCAGCCCGAUUUACACAGCCGUAAAACCACUGCACUUGGUGUGCAAAAUAUUUGGACUACUACCAUGGUUGUUCAAGGAAGACCUUAUUAAGAAAACUGUGCCAAUUGCCUGUGAUUUAUUUAAUAUUACAUACAGCCUGUUAUGGGUAAUUUCAUUUUCUGUGGGAUUAUGUUGCCAUAUUCGUGAUAAUUCAUCUGAGGAUAUGAACAAUUUAAUGCCAAAACUACGUAUUAUUGAAAAUAUUGAUGUUAUUUUUACGUACCUUACUAGCAUUCUAUGUUUGGUUCAUAUGUCAGUAAUCAGUAAGAUAAAGUUUACUCAGUUACUUGAUAAAGUUUCAAAAUUGGACGGUAAACUUUUUAAUUUAAAAGAAGAACAGAGUGCUAAUAGGAAAACGAAAUUCAUUAUCAUAAUGGAAUUAGUAAAAUAUUACACUCGUCUCUUCAAUAAAUGUUGAAACCGAUAGUCAUGUAUCGAUAAGCCAAAAUAUCCAUUCUAUUAGGGCUUUAUACAACGGAAUAUACGACAUUGUUUGCCUUGUAAAUUCCCUUUAUGGAUUAUCAAUUCUUGCUAUUACGUGUUGCGUCUUGGUGGAACUCGUUUUCGUCACCUAUUACGCACUCUGUUGCUUCCAGAUCGAUUUCGUCGUAGAAAUAUUUGGCGAUAUAUUUCUGUCGUUGAUGUUUGUGAAAAUGGCCACUGUCUGCCAAUUUGCUGCAAACGAGGGAGAAACUUCAAGAAUUCUGGUGCAGAAAUUACUAUUAGAGGACGAUUUAAAAGAAGAAGAUUAUAAGGAACUGGCAAUGUUAUCGGCUCAGUUGAGGGAUAUGAAGAUUAGAUACAAAGCGUGUGGAUUUUUUACGUUGAAUCUUCCAUAUUUGUGCAGCAUGGUGGGCGCGAUAGUGUCAUAUGUAAUUAUUAUGGUUCAGAUACAAUGAGGCCACGUUAGUAGUGAAUUUGCAUUACGAAAUGCACUCUGGCGUGUUUACAACCAUUACUGAUAUAGCUUAUGAAAUUUGUUUUGUUUCUUGGUAAUUUGUACUUAAUUUAAUUGGUGCUUUCAAAAACACUGUUUAUACCUACACCUAACGUUAAUGUAAUCACAUAAUUUAAACUAAAUGCUUUGUAUUUGGAGGAACGUUUGAAAAGUACACAGUUUUUGAGUGAUUGUCUCUGGCGAUUGUCCCAUAACUAUGAUAAGGACGAAGGCGUGUAACAUUUAUUCUGUGACAGAUCCAUUUUAUAAGCUUUGCAAAGUUAUUGGCUUAUUUCCAAAUUACAAUACUGGACGUGUGAAAAGAGAUGAUGGGAAAAAUCUUGUUAGGUUAUGGGGUUUAUUGUGGUCAUUGACUGUGGUCACCAUUCUUGUGGUCUGCUUUGUCUACCGAAUAACAAAAACUAUUUUUGAAGAAUAUAAUUACGUUAAAUCUGUCAUAUGGGUUCCGGACAUAAUUGCGAGUUCCGUGACGUUCAUAUCAGGUAUAAUAUGCAUUAUAAUUAGUGCUAAUGGUCAGAGUGUUAAGCUGAAUGCUGUUGAACUGGAGAUCGACGCAAUUGAGAGACACUUCUGCGGUCUACAAGCAAAGAGUAACAAUUUCAAUAAACUUGGUCUCGCAUUAAUAAUUAUAGUCGUGUUUAUGGUUGUUCUUAUGGUAUCUACGAGUUAUGCAUACAUUUAUUUGUGGAGGUCAUAUUUUAAUUCAUAUGUUCUUUUUGGCGAACAUUAUUGCUAUAUUAUAUUUUAUUUAAUAUUUGUGAAGUACGUAUUUUAUGUUAGAGUCUUACAUGGAUAUUUCAAAGAAUUAAAUAUUCAUAUAAUGUCAGCGUUAGAUAAUAAAACAGUGGGGGAAUUUGAUAAAAUAGAGGAGCGUACUUUAAAUACCACUAAAUGUUUCGAAGUGGUUAUUAUUGAAGAUUUCCCUCUGAGAGACGCAGAAUACGAAAGCAAAUGCUUUCCAGAUUUGUCUGUAUCGAAGCGUCAAAAUAUGGUAGAUGUGCAGAUCUCAUACACAAAAUCAAGAAAUUGCAGAUUGAACUUUACGCUUUGACUCAACUAAUAAAUUCUACAUUCGGUUUUCAGAUUUUCCUAGUUUUAUCCGCGAUAUUCCUUAUGAAUACUUUUUCUUUCCAACUGAUGUCAUAUUUUAUAAUGAAUCUCGCCAGAAAUUACUAUGAUGUCGUUGAAACUACUUACCGAGGUUACAUUGCCAUCGUCUGGGGAACAAUGAAUUCCGUUCUACUCGUCAUUUUUUCUAUAGCCUGCGAUGAAACGAGCGAAGAAGCUGCUAAGUCUGUUCCACUCGUCUACUCGCUCCUCGUCGGUCUAGACGCCGAGAGUAGCUUGGCAGCUGAUCUUUGCUCAUUCUUCUCUCAGCUCACGAACUUAAAGAUUCAAUUUACGGCCUGUGGUUUGUUCACAAUCAAUCUACAAUUUCUUUUCUCUGUCAUAGGUGUCACUUGUACUUAUGUGAUUCUGUUGUAUCAGUUAAGCUGAAUAUCUUGUAGAAGAUGGUUUAAUUUUAUUUUAUUACUGUGUAAAGCACGUGUAUUUCCUCAGACUCUUGAUAUCGAUAUGAAAUAAAGUAAUUUAAACUGUG